rnacentral:rRNA from 1 species
GGACCCGCACAAGCGGAGGAUCAUGUGGUUUAAUUCGAUGGUACGCGGCGAACCUUACCGGGGUUUGACAUCCUGCUGCAGGAUUCUGGAAACAGAAUCGGCCUUCGAGGGCGCAGGACAGGUGCUGCAUGGUUGCCGUCAGCUCGUGCCGUGAGGUGUACCGUUAAGUCGGGUAACGAGCGCAACCCUCAUUGCGUGUUAAAUUUACACGCGAAACUGCCUACGUAAGUAGGAGGAAGGUGGGGACGACGUCAAAUCAGCAUGGCUCUUACAUCCCGGGCUACACACAUGAUACAAUGGUCGGUACAGAGGGCAGCGAAGCCGCGAGGCGAAGCUAAUCCCAUAAAACCGGCCCCAGUUCAGAUUGAAGGCUGCAACUCGCCUUCAUGAAGUUGGAUUCGCUAGUAAACGCGCAUCAGCCACGGCGCGUUGAAUACGUUCUCGGGUCUU